rnacentral:rRNA from 1 species
UGGGGAAUAUUGGACAAUGGGCGAAAGCCUGAUCCAGCCAUGCCGCGUGAGUGACGAAGGCCUUAGGGUUGUAAAACUCUUUCGUCGGGGACGAUAAUGACGGUACCCGAAGAAGAAGCUCCGGCUAACUUCGUGCCAGCAGCCGCGGUAAUACGAAGGGAGCUAGCGUUGUUCGGAAUCACUGGGCGUAAAGCGCACGUAGGCGGAUAGUUAAGUCAGGGGUGAAAUCCUGGGGCUCAACCCCAGAACUGCCUUUGAUACUGGCUGUCUCGAGGUCGAGAGAGGUUGGUGGAAUUCCUAGUGUAGAGGUGAAAUUCGUAGAUAUUAGGAAGAACACCAGUGGCUAAGGCGGCCAACUGGCUCGAUACUGACGCUGAGGUGCGAAAGCGUGGGGAGCAAACAGGAUUAGAUACCCCCGUAGUCCCUGAGCGGGCUGGCAAGGCGCAU